AAGGCUGUUCGCUUGAAGGUAUGCUCUGAUUGGAGAGUAUGAAUGACGUAGAAAGGUAGCCUGCGUAGGAAGUUGAACUGUUCUCUGAUUCAACCGUUUUUGAGCAAAGGAACAAAGCUGACCGCCCAUGAGCAGAGCCUUUGAUACCCGCUCUUGAGAUUCACACGACCUCAUCAGUGCACAACAGAUCAUAUUAUACACCCAAAACCACAGAAAAAUGCAAUUUGUUGUCAUGAUCCCUUUAAUCUUGGUGGCCACUACAAACUCCUUGUUCUACAUGGGGUAGAGGUUUGGACUCUACUCAUCAACUUUUGGUUAUAUUUUUAAUUGAUUUCUUGUUAUUGCUUUUCAGAGUAAACAUCUAAAGAGGUUGGGAGGCGUUGAUGCUGCAGAUCUUGUCAAGAAGUCAAUGGCUGCGUAAGUAUCUUUGUUCCCUUUUUUGCAUUACAGUAUUGUGGUCCUGGUAAUAUGAACAACAAAAACUAUGUGAUCCAGUAGUUUUGAUAAGUUGAAAAAAAUGUAUGGAAAUGGAGUUAACUUGACAAAAUGUUCCCACACACACACCCUUACUUGCUCUUUGCUACAUUUUCAUAAUGAACUAAACUGCAUUAUAACAUUUUAAGAUAAAUCUGCUUUACCAUGGCAGAACUAUGACAAAUAAAAUGAUGGCCAAAAUGAGUCUCAGAGGAAGAAGUGGGAAGGUUGCCUUCGUGAAGACUCAAUUGUACAAGAUAGUAUGUGAAAGUGAAGCCGGCAAACACAGAACAAGAGUUUGAAGCUCUAGAGAUUCGCCUGGAGGACAAGAAUGAGGGAGCAGAACUGAGUAAACAUCUAAAGAGGUUGGGAGGCGUUGAUGCUGCAGAUCUUGUCAAGAAGUCAAUGGCUGCGUAAGUAUCUUUGUUCCCUUUUUUGCAUUACAGUAUUGUGGUCCUGGUAAUAUGAACAACAAAAACUAUGUGAUCCAGUAGUUUUGAUAAGUUGAAAAAAAUGUAUGGAAAUGGAGUUAACUUGACAAAAUGUUCCCACACACACACCCUUACUUGCUCUUUGCUACAUUUUCAUAAUGAACUAAACUGCAUUAUAACAUUUUAAGAUAAAUCUGCUUUACCAUGGCAGAACUAUGACAAAUAAAAUGAUGGCCAAAAUGAGUCUCAGAGGAAGAAGUGGGAAGGUUGCCUUCGUGAAGACUCAAUUGUACAAGAUAGUAUGUGAAAGUGAAGCCGGCAAAUACAGAACAAGAGUUUGAAGCUCUAGAGAUUCGCCUGGAGGACAAGAAUGAGGGAGCAGAACUGGUAAGAUUUAACCCUCAGGUGUUCUUGGGGUCAUAAUUGACUUGAAUUCACCCAUGUUCAGGAACAGUCUUCAGUAAAGUGUGCUAAACAUAGUCUCAAACUGGUGUUAUAAUCGAGUGGUACUUCCUCAUAAAUGAACUUCAGCCACUCUUCUCUGAUUCUCUCAUCCUUCCGGAGUAAGUGGAAACUUCCAUCUGUUUUUGAGCACCCUUGGACAACACUGCUACCCUUUUUAGUAGCCAUCCUCAGUAUAGUCAGACCUGCUAGCGCGACAUGCUACUCCAACUCAGCCUGUGUGUCAGCUGAGGGGAGGGGGGAAGGCUGUUCGCUUGAAGGUAUGCUCUGAUUGGAGAGUAUGAAUGACGUAGAAAGGUAGCCUGCGUAGAAAGUUGAACUGUUCUCUGAUUCAACCGUUUUUGAGCAAAGGAACAAAGCUGACCGCCCAUGAGCAGAGCCUUUGAUACCCGCUCUUGAGAUUCACACGACCUCAUCAGUGCACAACAGAUCAUAUUAUACACCCAAAACCACAGAAAAAUGCAAUUUGUUGUCAUGAUCUCUUUAAUCUUGGUGGCCACUACAAACUCCUUGUUCUACAUGGGGUAGAGGUUUGGACUCUACUUAUCAACUUUUGGUUAUAUUUUUAAUUGAUUUCUUGUUAUUGCUUUUCAGAGUAAACAUCUAAAGAGGUUGGGAGGCGUUGAUGCUGCAGAUCUUGUCAAGAAGUCAAUGGCUGCGUAAGUAUCUUUGUUCCCUUUUUUGCAUUACAGUAUUGUGGUCCUGGUAAUAUGAACAACAAAAACUAUGUGAUCCAGUAGUUUUGAUAAGUUGAAAAAAAUGUAUGGAAAUGGAGUUAACUUGACAAAAUGUUCCCACACACACACCCUUACUUGCUCUUUGCUACAUUUUCAUAAUGAACUAAACUGCAUUAUAACAUUUUAAGAUAAAUCUGCUUUACCAUGGCAGAACUAUGACAAAUAAAAUGAUGGCCAAAAUGAGUCUCAGAGGAAGAAGUGGGAAGGUUGCCUUCGUGAAGACUCAAUUGUACAAGAUAGUAUGUGGUGAGUUUUCUUUAACUUAGUAGUUUAGAAUGUAAAUUGUAUGAUGUAGUUUUGUUUUCUAUCUUGUGAAAAAUUCUCAGUCUUCUCUGUGAGAGCACAGACAAUACUGAGCCUCAUUUUGACUUGUUUCAAGGACAUUACAUCAAAGUUGGAUCAGCCUGUAGUGUUUUUCCACUUUAAUUUUGUGUGUGACUCCAA